rnacentral:rRNA from 1 species
CGGAAGGUCCGGCGUUAUCCGGAUUAUUGGUUAAGGGAGCGUAGGCCGGAGAUUAAGUGUGUUGUGAAUGUAGACGCUCAACGUCUGACUUGCAGCGCAUACUGGUUCCUUGAGUACGCACAACGUUGGCGGAAUUCGUCGUGUAGCGGUGAAAUGCUUAGAUAUGACGAAGAACUCCGAUUGCGAAGGCAGCUGACGGGAGCGCAACUGACGCUUAAAGCUCGAAGGUGCGGUAUCGAACAGGAUU